UGGAGCCUCUGUAGGGCUGAAUUCCUGCUCACCACUUACUCCUGAUACUGGGAAGAUUUUCAACGUCUCCAAGACUGGGGUUUUUCAUUUGCAAAAGGAGGGCUGCAGGAACUUGGAGUACUACAUGUAAUAACAUACUGGUCAUCACUCUUGGCAAAUAUUGAAAGCUUCACUUGGUCCCUGACACCUAAAGGAUAAAGAAGAGCUUGAUGAUCUGAUGUGAGUGGGCCCUAGAGUCACCCUCUCUGCCCUCUAACAGGACCCGGCUUGGGGAUGACGGCAGAUCCUAUCUCCCUUCUCUCCAGUCUCAAUUCUAGCAAGCAGCAUCUUUCAGCUUAUGUUGGGGAGUGAAGCAGGAUCUGUGACCUAGGACCGAAGCUGGCGCCUGGCGGGACGACUCAGACACCAGACUUUGGACCACAAUACCAUCAACUAUUAGUGUCUGUCUCUCCAGGAUCCCUAGCAACUAAUGUUAUUUUUAGUGACUGACUCUUUAAUAUGUACUGCUUGUGAAUAUGAAUUUAAAUGUUAUGUCCAGGGCACACAGCAGUGCACACAGCACUAGCAGUUGGGGCAAUUGAGGUAUUAAUUUUCUACUCGGUAACUCGCAUCGUCAUCCACAACCUGCAGAGCAAAGCCCAAACUCUGUACCGCAGCACUCAAGACCCUCUAUUAGCUGACUCCAUCCUAACUGCCUAGUGCCAUGUUCCAGUCACAGGACCUGGGGUCCUGUCAUACAGACAUGUUCCAUUUCCAAAUAAGCCAUGCAGAGCUCUGCAUCUGUGCUGAGCUGCUCCUUCGGCCGAGAAGGUCGUUUCUGUC
rnacentral:lncRNA from 10 species